CACGGGGGGAGCAAGCGUUGUUCGGAAUCACUGGGCGUAAAGGGCGUGCAGGCGGUCAGGUAAGUGGGAUGUGAAAUGCCCCGGCUCACCCGGGGACCGGCAUCUCAUACUGCUUGGCUUGAGUACGGGAGAGGAUGUGGGAAUUCCUGGUGUAGCGGUGAAAUGCGUAGAUAUCAGGAGGAACACCGGUGGCGAAGGCGGGUCUCUGGGCAAUAACUGACGCUGAGGAGCGAAAGCGUGGGGAGCGAACAGG
rnacentral:rRNA from 1 species